CGGUCUGUGAUGACUAGCCCACUGCGCAAUCUGAAGAAUAAUAAUAAUUAUAAACCAUAUGAUAGAAGCAGUGCUGUAUUAUAAUCUGAGACCA